rnacentral:rRNA from 1 species
GUUUAAAGGUUUUACCGCCUUUGGGAUAGGCUUGCGUCUGAUUAGCUAGUUGGUGUGGUAACGGCACACCAAGGCUACGAUCAGUAACUGGUCUGAGAGGAUGAUCAGUCACACUGGAACUGAGACACGGUCCAGACUCCUACGGGAGGCAGCAGUGAGGAAUAUUGGGCAAUGCACGAAAGUGUGACCCAGCAACGCCGCGUGGAGGAUGAAGGUAUUCUAUAUCGUAAACUCCUGUGAGAGCAGACGAAAGACAGAUUAUUAAUUUGGAUGACUGUAUGCUCAGAGGAAGCCCCGGCUAACUACGUG